rnacentral:rRNA from 1 species
UACGAAGGGGGCUAGCGUUGUUCGGAAUUACUGGGCGUAAAGCGUAUGCAGGCGGAUCGUUAAGUUGGGGGUGAAAUCCCGAGGCUCAACCUCGGAACUGCCUUCAAUACUGGCGAUCUUGAGUCCGGGAGAGGUGAGUGGAACUCCGAGUGUAGAGGUGAAAUUCGUAGAUAUUCGGAAGAACACCAGUGGCGAAGGCGGCUCACUGGCCCGGUACUGACGCUGAGAUACGAAAGCGUGGGGAGCAAACAGGAUUAGAUACCCUAGUAGU